rnacentral:lncRNA from 1 species
CUGUGGAUCAGGCUCUGUGCUUUGCGUGGAAGCUAGAGGAAAAAGACAAAUCUCCUGUCCUCAGGGAGCUCAGAAGAUCUCUAGUCUGACAUUUGUCAUCCUUACAGCACAGCAAUGGUGAUCCUUGACUGGAUGCCUUUUGUGUGUUAAGAACUGUGACAGCUCCAGUGAGCUAAGACACCUUUGUCCAAGAAGGUCAGACCAGGACCUGCAUCAUAAUGACAGAGAGCAAUCAGGCCUUAUAUCCAUGGGAACAGAGGGAGAAAUUGGUGUGAGCUGUAAAGGAGAGAAAGGACAGAAGCAGAACACAGGCGUUUGCUUACAAAGGUUAGCUUACAGCGGUCCUAGGAAGUGACUGUUAUCCUCUCUAAAAUAUGAGACAUCCUGCCUCCACGUGGUUGGCUCUUCUUCUCCAUGUCCCAUAGCUGGACACAGAGCUUCUCAAAAGUUGAGCAAGUCUUUACGUCUGUGUAUCAUCAAAACAUCUUGGCACAGGAUAAACCCUCAAUAAGUCCUUGGGGAAUGAAGAAGUACCUAGAAGCUCUGGAAGCAGAUUUCAAACUCAGAACUCUCUGAUUCCAGAGUCUGUGGUCUUCUCUUCCAUGGUGAGCGCUGCUGACAAAAUGGAGAAGCCCAGAUGAGUAGCAAGCUUGGGGAAACAGACACAGCCUUCCAGGUGGGAUUCCAAACACGAGGAGAGGAAAUAGCCUGGAGAAGAAGAAUGUUUGGAGAGGGCAGAGGGAAGUGGUCCCUUGCUAUGCAUUCUGAGGACCUCUUGUUCCCUGAGAUGCUCUAAAAGGGCUCUGGGGCCAGUAGGCUUCAUGAUGACUCAGGGCACCUACUGAUAUAUGAUGUCUCUGAGAAUUUCUGCAGUCAAGUUACUGGUUUCUCCUAAACAAAAACAAUGUGCCAACCUCUGCUCUACAGUUCAUGAAGAAGGCCUUAUAAUAAGGCCUAAGAAAAAGGAAAACAAUAGCUCCACAAUUUGUGAUGGAAAAGUAAAGUGGAUUUGCAUGAAGGCUUUGGGGAAGUUAAAACAAGUCAAGCCGUGGGAUGAAAAACUGGAAUGAAGAUGUUUAAUUUAAAUUACAAGUUUUAAAAUGAAUAUUGUUGAAGCAGAAGUGUAUAUUCUAGUUAGUAUUUUAUGCUGGAACUUAACUUCUACGAAAUAACUUAAUGGGAAGUCUGAGAUUUGUCCACCAUAUUUCAGAAUCCUGAACAUUCCGCAUAGUAAUUUCCAUGUUUUCCCUGCAGCAUCACUUUUGAAAAACUUUUUUAUUUUUCC